CUCAGUUUUAGGGUGGAAUCCAGUAACGUCAAUAGACAUAGCCUCAUCCACAACACUCUGAGCAAACAAGACCAGAGGUCGCGCACACAGCAGCACCUUGCGUGUGUGUGGGUGGGGGGUGGCUACAAGCCGUGGUGCAGGGGGGAGGCCUGGCUCUCAGCUCACCUCUGCCAGCUGUGCAAUCCUGGGCACCUUGCUCGCCUUCCCUGAGCCUGUUUCUUCUCCUGUAAAAUGCCAGGCACUGGGCUGGCCUGAGAGCUUCACCCAUGCUCUGCUGCUGCAUCCUUGCCCUCAGUGCCUUGGUUUACCCUCUUCCACGUGGCUCACAGUAGACAUUCCCUUUCUCAGCCCCGGGCCCCCAGCACUGACCUGCCAGAACCACGGCAGUCUGGGUUUGUUCCAGAAACUUCUCAGGAAACCCAAGUUUGAAGGAUGGUGACACAGGGGAGCCAAGGAGAGGGCAGGCCUUUCCUGAGUGCUGAGUCUGCAGGCCCUGCCCAGGAACAGGUGAGCGAGCUGGUGAGUGGUGUUUCAGGGCAUCGGGGAGCCAUGCAGGAGACACGAGGAGUGCCAGAGCAACUGCUGUACCAUCAACAGCCUGGCCCCACACACGCUCUGCACCCCUAAGACCAUCUUCCUGCAGUGCCUGCCCUGGAGGAAGGUGAGCCCAAUGGGUACAGAUGCUCGCACGACUCAGAGUGCCAGAGCAGCUGCUGCGUCCGCAACAACAGCCCGCAGGAGUUGUGCACGCCCCAAAGCGUCUUCCUGCAGUGUGUGCCCUGGCGCAAGCCCAACGGCGACUUCUGCAGCAGCCAUCAGGAGUGUCACAGCCAGUGCUGCAUCCAGCUGAGGGAGUACAGCCCCUUCCGCUGCAUUCCCCGGACCGGGAUCCUGGCCCAGUGCCUGCCCCUGGUAAGUCCCGGGCGGGGGCUCAGCCUCCAGGCCCUCCCUUGGCCGCC
rnacentral:lncRNA from 1 species